UACGUAGGGGGCAAGCGUUGUCCGAAGUUACUGGGCGUAAAGCGCGCGUAGGCGGGCUGUUAAGUGAGAGGUGAAAGGCUGGGGCUCAACCCCAUGCAGUGCCUCUCAUACUGGCGGUCUUGAGUGCGGCAGGGAGAAGUGGAAUGGCUGGUGUAGCGGUGAAAUGCGCAGAUAUCAGGAGGAACACCGAUGGCGAAGGCAGCUCGCUUGGACGGUACUGACGCUGAGACGCGAAAGCGUGGGGAGCAAACAGG
rnacentral:rRNA from 1 species